rnacentral:rRNA from 1 species
AAUACAUGCAAGUUGAACGGGAUUUUGGGUAGCAAUAUCUGAAUGAGAGUGGCGCACGGGUGCGUAACGCGUAUGCAACCUACCUUUGUCUGGGGAAUAGCCUUCCGAAAGGAAGAUUAAUACCGCAUAAAGUAUUGAUGAAGCAUUUCAUUAAUACCAAACCUCCGAGGGACAAAGAUGGGCAUGCGUUCGAUUAGCUAGUUGGUGAGGUAACGGCUCACCAAGGCUACGAUCGAUAGGGGGUCUGAGAGGAUGAUCCCCCACACUGGUACUGAGACACGGACCAGACUCCUACGGGAGGCAGCAGUAAGGAAUAUUGGACAAUGGGCGAAAGCCUGAUCCAGCCAUGCCGCGUUCAGGAUGACGGCCCUAUGGGUUGUAAACUGCUUUUGGCGGGGAAAAAACCCUCAUACGUGUAUGAGGCUGAUGGUACCCGCAGAAUAAGGAUCGGCUAACUCCGUGCCAGCAGCCGCGGUAAUACGGAGGAUCCAAGCGUUAUCCGGAUUUAUUGGGUUUAAGGGGUGCGUAGGCGGAUUAGUAAGUCAGUGGUGAAAGCCUGCAGCUUAACUGUAGAACUGCCAUUGAUACUGCUAGUCUUGAAUAUAGUUGAGGUAGGCGGAAUAUGACAUGUAGCGGUGAAAUGCUUAGAUAUGUCAUAGAACACCGAUUGCGAAGGCAGCUUGCUAAGCUAUUAUUGACGCUGAGGCACGAAAGCGUGGGUAGCAAACAGGAUUAGAUACCCUGGUAGUCCACGCCGUAAACGUUGGGCACUAGGUGUGGGUCUCAACCAACGGGAUCCGUGCCGCAGCUAACGCAUUAAGUGCCCCGCCUGGGGAGUACGGCCGCAAGGCUAAAACUCAAAGGAAUUGACGGGGGCCCGCACAAGCGGCGGAGCAUGUUGCUUAAUUCGAGGCAACGCGAAGAACCUUACCUGGGUUUGACAUGUAGGGAAAAGCCGUAGAGAUACGGUGUCCUUUUGGGCCCUACACAGGUGGUGCAUGGCUGUCGUCAGCUCGUGUCGUGAGAUGUUGGGUUAAGUCCCGCAACGAGCGCAACCCUUGUCCUAUGUUGCCAGCACGUAAUGGUGGGGACUCGUAGGAGACUGCCGGGGUCAACUCGGAGGAAGGUGGGGACGACGUCAAGUCAUCAUGCCCCUUAUAUCCAGGGCUGCAAACAUGCUACAAUGGCCAGUACAAAGGGCUGCUAUCCCGCGAGGGUGAGCGAAUCCCAGAAAGCUGGUCUCAGUUCGGAUUGGAGUCUGCAACUCGACUCCAUGAAGCCGGAGUCGCUAGUAAUCCCGGAUCAGCUACGCCGGGGUGAAUACGUUCCCGGGCCUUGUACACACCGCCCGUCACACCACGAAAGUCGGUAACACCCGAAGCCAGUGGCCCAACCCUUUGGGAGGGAGCUGUCGAAGGUGGGAUCGGCGAUUGGGGUGAAGUCGGAACAAGGUA